UAGUAAUAACAUCAUUAGCACUUUCCAGAAUUUAUAUCGUUGCCCUGGGGAUGACAAGGGAAACAUGCUGAACACAGGCGCUGAGCUACAUUUCUUAAGUGAAGAAAUGCCCUCUCUAAAGUUAUUUAAAUAGCUUAUAAAAUGAAAUUUGUUAAGAGUCACAUUAGAUGAGGACUUUGUCCUGAAGUUACUUGCUAGUUCAGAAGAGUAAAAUAGUGAGAGUAUUAAACUUGUGGCAGAAGAAUAAUGUUUUUAAGAGUGAGAUUAUCCAGCCUCUUCUGGAUAUGGCAGCAGGGAUUCCCCCCCCAGUUGUCACCCCAGUUUUGGCUGGCACCACUGCAGCGAUGAGCAAUACUCCAGGAACCCCUGUGACACCUGUUACUCCAGCCAAUGUGGUCCAAGGCUUACCUGAUCCAUGGGUGUCUCAGAUAACAAACACAGACACACUGGCAGCCGUUGCUCAGAUCUUACAGAGUCCUCAAGGUCAGCAGCUUCAGCAGCUCAUACAAACCUUACAGAUACAACAGCAGAAGCCCCAGCCUUCCAUCCUGCAGGCCUUGGAUGCUGGUCUAGUGGUUCAGUUGCAGGCACUCACAGCACAGCUUACAGCUGCAGCCGCAGCAGCCAACUCCCUUACACCCUUGGAUCAGGGAGUCUCUUUCAACAAGAAGUUGAUGGAUAGGUUUGAUUUUGGGGAAGAUUCUGAGCACAGCGAAGAAUCCAAAAAGGAAAUUCCUACUCCUCAACUUUCUCAUGUUUCCGAAUCUGUGAACAACUCCAUCUUCCAUCAGAUUGCAGAGCAGCUGCAGCAGCAGAACCUGGAGCACCUGCGACAGCAGCUCUUGGAGCAGCAGCAGCAGCCUCAGAAGGUAACUCCUCAAGAUAGCCAGGAGGGAACAUUUGGGUCAGAGCACUCAGCGUCACCCUCACAAGGAAGUAGCCAGCAGCAUUUUCUGGAACCUGAAGCAAAUUUAGAUGAUUCCAUAGACAUUCAGCAACAGGAUAUGGAUAUUGAUGAAGGACAAGAUGUUGUUGAAGAGGAGAUCUUUGAACCAGAAGCUAAGAAAGUAGCUGUUCGCUCAAGAUCAAGAACUCAUUCGCGAUCUCGAUCAAGAUCACCAAGAAAACGAAGGUCCAGGUCACGAUCUGGGUCGAGAAAGCGAAAACAUAGGAAGCGAUCCCGCUCCCGUUCUAGAGAGAGAAAGAGAAAAUCAUCACGAUCAUAUUCAAGUGAAAGAAGAGCCAGAGAAAGGGAGAAAGAACGCCAAAAAAAGGGACUGCCUCCUGUCAGAUCAAAAACUCUAAGUGUGUGCAGCACUACUCUCUGGGUUGGCCAAGUGGAUAAGAAGGCUACACAGCAAGAUCUAACCAACCUCUUUGAGGAGUUUGGACAAAUUGAAUCUAUUAAUAUGAUUCCACCCAGGGGCUGUGCAUAUGUCUGUAUGGUUCAUCGACAAGAUUCUUUUCGGGCUCUUCAGAAACUGAGUUCAGGAUCCUAUAAAAUUGGUUCCAAGGUCAUUAAGAUUGCCUGGGCUUUGAACAAAGGUGUAAAGACGGAAUAUAAACAGUUCUGGGAUGUGGAUCUUGGAGUCACAUAUAUACCUUGGGAAAAAGUUAAAGUGGAUGACUUGGAUGGCUUUGCAGAAGGAGGCAUGAUAGACCAGGAAACUGUAAAUGCUGAAUGGGAAACUGUGAAAACCUCAGAACCCGUUAAAGAGACGGUCCAGACUACACAGAGUCCAACUCCAGUUGAAAAGGAGACAGUGGUUACAACACAGGCAGAGGUCUUCCCUCCGCCUGUGGCCAUGCUGCAGAUUCCAGUAGCUCCAGCGGUUCCUGCAGUUAGUCUAGUUCCACCAGCGUUUCCUGUGUCGAUGCCGGUCCCACCUCCUGGAUUCAGCCCAAUUCCUCCUCCUCCUUUUCUCCGAGCAAGUUUUAACCCUUCACAACCACCUCCUGGUUUUAUGCCACCUCCGGUUCCCCCACCUGUUGUACCUCCCCCUGCAAUUCCUCCAGUAGUACCAACAUCUUUAGUGCAACCACCAUUGUCCAUGACCCCAGAAACUGUGAAAGAUGUUGGAUUUGGUAGCCUUGUUUUACCAGGUGGUUCUGUGGCCAGCGGUCUCGCUCCUUCAACUCUAUCAGCUGGAAAUGUUUUUAAUCCUCCCAAUAAAGCAGAGCCUGAAGAAAAAGUACCUCACCUUACAGAACACCAGAUUCCUUCUGGUGAAAACACCAGACCAGUGAUUCCAAAUGAUAUUCCAAGUAGUGCUGCAAUGUUAGCACAGCCGCCUGGCCCCGCAAACACCUCUGGGAUCCUGUGUGUGCAGAGACCAAAUGUGUCAAGUAAUUCUGAAAUUCUGGGGGUUCGGCCAGCUAAUGUUUCCAGUAAUGCUGCGAUUAUUGGAGCCCAGCCACCAAAUAUUCUAAAUAACUCUGGAAUUUUGGGCAUACAGCCACCAAAUGUGUCGAGUGGCUCUGGACUUCUUGGGGUACUGCCUCCAAACUUGCCUAACAACUCUGGACUUGUAGGACUACAGCCACCAAAUGUUACAAAUCCUGCUGGACUUUUGGGAACACAGCCACCAAUUGGACCUCAAAACUUACCUCCCUUAACUAUCCCAGCCCAAAGGAUGCCUGCAUUGCCAAUGUUAGACAUCCGUCCAGGACUGAUACCACAGGCUCCUGGACCAAGAUUCCCUUUACUACAGCCUGGAAUCCCCCCCCAACGUGGGAUCCCUCCCCCAUCGGUACUUGAUGCAGCUCUUCACCCGCCUCCCCGUGGACCUUUUCCUCCUGGAGAUCUUUUUAGUCAGCCAGAAAGACCUUUUCUGGCUCCUGGAAGACCAAGUAUAGACAAUGUUCCCAACCCAGAUAAACGAAUACCACUUGGGAAUGACAGUAUUCAGCAGGAAGGGGAUAGAGAUUACCGGUUUCCUCCUGUAGAAACAAGGGAGGGCAUGAAUAGACCUCCCCCGGUGGAUGUUAGGGAUGUGGUUGGGCGACCUAUAGAUCCCCGAGAAGGCCCUGGAAGGCCUCCAUUAGAUGGUAGGGAUCAUUUUGGAAGACCUCCUGUGGACAUCAGAGAGAAUCUUGUGAGGCCAGGUCUAGAUCAUCUUGGUCGAAGAGACCACUUUGGCUUUCCCCCAGAGAAGCCUUGGGGGCAUAGAGAUUUUGAUGAGAGAGAGCAUCGAGUUCUGCCUGUCUUUGGUGGUCCAAAAGGCUUACAUGAAGAAAGAGGUAGAUUUCGGGCUGGAAGUUACCGAUUUGAUCCUAGAAGUGGUCCUUGGAACAGAGGAUUUGCGCAAGAAGUUCACAGAGAUUUUGAUGACCGCAGAAGACCCUGGGAGAGGCAAAGGGAUAGGGAUGACAGAGAUUUUGAUUUCUGCAGAGAAAUUAAUGGAAAUCGUCUUGGACGAGAUAGAAUUCAAAACACUUGGGUCCCCCCUCCUCAUGCUCGGGUGUUUGAUUAUUUCGAAGGGGCCACUUCUCAACGAAAAGGUGAUAAUGUGCCUCAAGUUAACGGUGAAAAUACAGAGAGGCAUGCUCAGCCACCGCCUUUACCAGUCCAGAAGGACCCUGAACUCUAUGACAAACUGGCGUCUUCAGGUGACGUAGACAAGGAGGAGAGCGGCACAGUUGCUGAUGUAGAAAGUGAAGCAGUGGUGGUAGAGAGCACAGAGACUGAGGGGACAUAACCAUCGCUCAGUAGGACAGAUGAUCCAGAAGAUUGCAGAGCAUCUCGGCUUGUAGGAGGAUGUGAAUUUGCUCAUCAUCAGUAGCCUGGCUACAGCUGGAGGAGGCCAAGAAGGAAAAUCUGUAUUGCUCUCCAUCUGGCAGAAGAUGAUUUUUGAGCGAUCAACAUUACUCAAGAGACUAUGCCUAAGGAUGCAUAGUCCUUGCAUGGUUUAAAAGAAAUGAAAAUAAGAAAGAAGUGGAAGGCAAGGCGUGGAACCUGCCCCUCUGAAGUUGCAGCCCCGAGAAGGGACCUGGUGUCAAAGAGCGGGUGCCAACACCCAGAGGUUUCUAGGCAGCAGGUGAGCUGUACAAACAAUAACGGGCGUGAAGGCGGUGGAAGGGUCAGGUCGGGAGCGACGGCCCUGAGCCCUGGGCUGGGCGCUAAGGAGGAAUUGGCUGUCUUAGUGUUUUCCAUGCCGAAUCAAAGAACACCGUGGAUCCUGAUGUCCUCAGGGUACGGCCAUUCCUUUGUGGAUUGAUUGCAGUGGGAAUGAAUGAAGACGCAUAUGUGAGCACCCCAGGAGAAGCUGGGAGAUUAGCUGGAGAGCCGGAAUGCUAUAAAUCACACCUCCUGGGGCCCUCUGGUAGUGAUCCCGUUGCAAGCCUUACCAGGAGGCAUCUCUCCAGCUCCCGAUUGGAGCGUCUUUUGUGUGCGUUGGCUGUUUGGCUGUCUUCUUGGUAACAGUAGCGGUUCCACUCUUUUCUAGCUGCAACUGUUUGGUUUGUAAUUAAUUGCUUCCUCACAGCUCUAUUCCCAGGCCAGACCUUUAUUGGAUGCUGUUGGUGGAGGCAUCAUUUCUCUGACUGUCUUGGAGCAUCGUGGCUGGCAGAUGCCUCUGAGAGGCAGCAGCUGAAGGCUGGGGUCCCUCUUCAACCUUUCCUCAUCUCAGAGUCUGGGUAGCUCUUUAAGAACCCGCGAGCCUACACAAUGUGUACGCUCAAUAUUUCUUUCAUGUUCCCCAUUUGUUUUCUAUAUCAUAAAGACCGGACUAAUAUAAGCUGUUCUUCUAUCUUGUCGUUCAGGGCAUUUCAAGGGAAGGCCAUGCUGUUCUGUGGGUACACACCAAGAUGAACACGAUCAUUUUCAGGGCUGGGACUAAG